CCGCGCCCCGCCUACCCCGGCCCCCAGAUCCUGGAGCCGCUGACCCGCCGAGUGACCUCGGGCCAGUCACGGCACCUCUCCGCGCCUCGCCUUCCCGCUCUGCAAAGUGGGGGCAAUGUUAUUUGGCCGACUCAAUGGGACUGCUUGUAAAGCUCUCGGCACGGGGCCUGGCAUCCAGUAGGCGCUCCAGAACAGCGGCUAUUUUUAUUAUUAAUUAAGGAGUAACGAAGGUGACAGCUGUGUAAACUGUAAAGCGCUGCGCCUGAACGAACGGGUAUUAUUAGCACCCGCCCCCGCCCCAGCUACUCCCUCCAAGACAACAAACUUGAGCCUUUGUGGGCGGGACGCCGAACCGGGAGCUCCCCUUAUCGGGUACGUUCAGACACCCCCGCUCAGACGCCCGCCCUUGGCGGGAGGGUGGGGGGAACACGGUCGCCGGAAAGGGGGCGGGGCCCAUGGAGGGUCUGGCCCGCCCCUUCCCCCCAAAAAAGACCUAGCCGGUGGCAGCGUCUCCCGGGAGUCCGCUUCCUGCCCCGCCCCUCCGCCCCUUGGCUCCUUAAAGGCGCAGGCCUCCAUCCUGGCUCCCACUGCUGCCAACUCCUGAGCCACCGUCGGCCUAUCCCCUUUAACCUGGGAGAGAACUUUCACUUUGCUCAAUUGAACCUGUGCCUGGGUCAGUCCCUACAAGCUCCUUCCUCUAUUUCCAAUAAGUAUUUGUUUAACCCAGCGGGACCAAAGCUUGGGAUACGGAAUGGGCUCUGUGGGGGCUUUCCCGACUAGGUAAAUAUAGUGACUAAGAGACAGCCCCCCCACACCCAACAGUGUCUCUAGACCCCUCCAGGAACCCCAUAAGUCAUCCUCCAAACUGCCCGACUUUUCCCGUCACUCAGCUCUAGAAAUGAGGGAAGAAAAAAAGGAGACAUGGAGUCUCAGUAGAGUUGAAACCAACUGGCAUCCGCUUGUAUAGAGUGAGUGGAUGUGCAGCAAUCGUGCCCCUGGGUCACAGCCGUAAGAGCCCUUGUCCUCUACUCUGACGCUUCAUGGACUGGCACGUGAUGAAGAUCCUGGGAUGCGUCCACCUCUUGGUAUUAUGAAGAAUGCUAUUACGAACAUGGGUGCACAAAUAUCUUUUGAGGCCCUUGCUUUCAAUUCUUUCAUAUAUCCAGAUAUGGACGAGCUGGAUCAUAUGUGCUGAAUAAUAUUCCAUUGUCCGGAUGUACCACAGUUCAUUUAUCUGCUCACCUACUGAAGGACAUCUUGGUUGCUUCAACAUUUGGCAAUUAUGAAUAAAGCUGCUAGAAACAUCUAUGUACAGAUUUCUAUGUGGACAUAAGUUUUCAAGUCCUUUGGGGAAAUGCUGGAUUAUAUGGCUCCUCUCUGGACGUGCUUCCUGAUCUGUGUAACGCGGAAACCCAACAACCAAGGAGCUGAGGUGCUGGCAUUGUACUGGCGACACUGGGCACACAGUAUGUGGUAAGCCAGUAGUUGCCCGCAUUAGUGCAAACUCAAAGUCUCUCAGGUCGCCUUCCUACCUCCACCAUGGAAAGGGUUUGAUGCUUCUAUCUCUGGCUGCCCUCUUCCUGAGUCAGCACCUCCCCACCUCGGAUCACCCCUCCGCCCACCUGCUCAUGCAGCUCGUCUUCUGGGCUUGGCUUUUCCUUGUGGUGCUUGGCAUCCAUACAGACAUUGAGAAGCUCAGUCCUGGGCCGGGCUGCCCACACUGCAGCCACCCCCGCCAGAAGGAGCAGCAACUCUGUUGUCACCAGCUGGGCCAUGUCAGUGUCUGAAGGAAGACCUGUGGUCAGUGGCACCAAGGAAAGCAGAGGUGGGGCCUCCAGGUCAGAUUUUGACACCAAAUGACUUCGUGCAAACUUUGACGAUAACCUCAGUUUUGGAGCUCCAGAUAAGCCGCAGACCUAAGUUUAAAACAAGACAACAAAACCCAGCCCCAGUUCCAGCCCUUCCCAGCCUCAUCAUUUGGCCUCUCCUGGAGAUCCUGCACCACGGGGAAUGUCCCAGGGCACAGAGGGCUGUGGGCAGCCAGCUGGACAGCCUCCGGGGCCUUGGGGAGGUUCCUGCCCCCGACCACAGAGCUGGCCUCCCUUUGGCUUUCGUUAGCACCUGAAUCCUCUGAAUUCAGACACUGAACUUUGGGAGGGAACUGACCGUUCCUUCACCCCACCGGUCACCAGGCGCCUGGGCUCUCCUAAAGUUUGGCAUUCGUUUCCCAUGGCUCCCAAAGCACACACGCCCCUCUGCUCAAAGUUGCCUUGUCUCCACACUGCCUUGCCCUCCCCGCCCUGUCCUGUGGAGCUCAGGCAGCUUCCUUGGCCUCCUGGACGGGACCUGAGCUGGGUGGCCUCCAGGCUGACUGCCUGGCAGGGCUUGGGAAACCUGGAAUUGAAUUCCUACCUCCCCUCUCCUCCUCGCCCCUCACCUUUCCACAAUCCAAUAUUCUGCUGCUCUAUUUA